CUACACCAAGUGAGAGAAUUGCAGAUGGUAGGUGCUAUGCUGACCUGCUCUCAACUUUCUACAAGCUUUUCAGUAUCCAAAUAUACGGAAUUUGAAAUUUGCUGCCAUGUAUAUGUCCCAUUGUCAGAUUAGUGUUGUACUACUGUUGAUAGGCUGAGGGCCUUAAUUUGUAACUUGUAUCAGAAGUUCACAAGUUGAACUCCAACCAUUUAUUCAGAGAAAUGUUGCAU
rnacentral:misc_RNA from 1 species